CGCGGCCUAUCAGCUUGUUGGCGAGGUAACGGCUCACCAAGGCAACGACGGGUAGCUGGUCUGAGAGGAUGGCCAGCCACAUUGGGACUGAGAUACGGCCCAGACUCCUACGGGAGGCAGCAGUGGGGAAUAUUGCACAAUGGGCGCAAGCCUGAUGCAGCGACGCCGCGUGGGGGAUGACGGCCUUCGGGUUGUAAACCUCUUUCACCAUCGGCGAAGCCGGGAGCUUUUGUUUCCGGUGACGGUAGGUGGAGAAGAAGCACCGGCCAACUACGUGCCAGCAGCCGCGGUAAUACGUAGGGUGCGAGCGUUGUCCGGAAUUACUGGGCGUAAAGAGCUCGUAGGUGGUUUGUCGCGUUGUCCGUGAAAUUCCCUGGCUUAACUGGGGGCGUGCGGGCGAUACGGGCAGACUGGAGUACUGCAGGGGAGACUGGAAUUCCUGGUGUAGCGGUGGAAUGCGCAGAUAUCAGGAGGAACACCGGUGGCGAAGGCGGGUCUCUGGGCAGUAACUGACGCUGAGGAGCGAAAGCGUGGGGAGCGAACAGGAUUAGAUACCCUGGUAGUCCACGCCGUAAACGGUGGGUACUAGGUGUGGGUUUCCUUCCUUGGGAUCCGUGCUGUAGCUAACGCAUUAAGUACCCCGCCUGGGGAGUACGG
rnacentral:rRNA from 1 species